rnacentral:rRNA from 1 species
UGGGGAAUAUUGGACAAUGGGCGCAAGCCUGAUCCAGCAAUGCCGCGUGUGUGAAGAAGGCCUUCGGGUUGUAAAGCACUUUUAUCAGGAGCGAAACGCUGUCGGCUAAUACCCGGCGGAACUGACGGUACCUGAGGAAUAAGCACCGGCUAACUUCGUGCCAGCAGCCGCGGUAAUACGAAGGGUGCAAGCGUUAAUCGGAAUUACUGGGCGUAAAGCGUGCGUAGGCGGUUUCUUAAGUCUGCUGUGAAAUCCCCGGGCUCAACCUGGGAAUGGCAGUGGAUACUGGGAGGCUAGAGUGUGUCAGAGGGUGGUGGAAUUCCCGGUGUAGCGGUGAAAUGCGUAGAGAUCGGGAGGAACAUCAGUGGCGAAGGCGGCCACCUGGGACAACACUGACGCUGAGGCACGAAAGCGUGGGGAGCAAACAGGAUUAGAUACCCUGGUAGUCCACGCCCUAAACGAUGCGAACUGGAUGUUGGUCUCAACUCGGAGAUCAGUGUCGAAGCCAACGCGUUAAGUUCGCCGCCUGGGGAGUACGGUCGCAAGACUGAAACUUAAAUGAAUUGACGGGGUCAUAGCUGUUUCCUG